CGGUACGUACUGGCAUUGUUGGUUUCUCCCUUCUGACGAACCAUGAUGUCAUUUAUUUGGUGUUGUGGGGAAUCAGGACUGUUACUUUGAAAAAAUUAGAGUGUUUAAAGCAGGCUCACGCUUGAAUACAUUAGCAUGGAAUAAUGAAAUAGGACGUUUGAUUCUAUUUUGUUGGUUUCUAGGAUCGACGUAAUGAUUAAUAGGGAUAGUUGGGGGCAUUAGUAUUCAAUUGUCAGAGGUGAAAUUCUUGGAUUUAUUGAAGACUAACUACUGCGAAAGCAUUUGCCAAGGAUGUUUUCAUUAAUCAUUAACGAAAGUUAGGGGAUCGAAGACGAUCAGAUACCGUCGUAGUCUUAACCAUAAACUAUGCCGACUAGGGAUCGGAUGAUGUUAAUUUUUUAAUGACUCAUUCGGCGCCUUACG
rnacentral:rRNA from 1 species